rnacentral:rRNA from 1 species
AAAAGCUCGUAGUUGGAUCUCAGCUCCGGCCGGACGGUCCGCCUACCGGUGGUUACUGUCCGUCGCCGAGCGUUCAGGCGGUUAUUCUUGAUGAUCUUCACCGGUUGUCUCGGGUGACCGCCAAGUUUACUUUGAAAAAAUUAGAGUGCUCAAAGCAGGCGCGACGCCUGAAUAAUUGUGCAUGGAAUAAUGGAAUAGGACCUCGGUUCUAUUUUGUUGGUUUUCGGAACACGAGGUAAUGAUUAAGAGGGACAGACGGGGGCAUUCGUAUUGCGACGCUAGAGGUGAAAUUCUUGGACCGUCGCAAGACGAACUACUGCGAAAGCAUUUGCCAAGAAUGUUUCCAUUAAUCAAGAACGAAAGUUAGAGGUUCGAAGGCGAUCAGAUACCGCCCUAGUUCUAACCAUAAACGAUGCCAGCCAGCGAUCCGGCUGUGUUCCUCAAAUGACACGCCGGGCAGCUUCCGGGAAACCAAAGCGUUUGGGUUCCGGGGGAAGUAUGGUUGCAAAACUCAAACUUAAAGGAAUUGACGGAAGGGCACCACCAGGCAUGGAGCCUGCGGCUUAAUUUGACUCAACACGGGAAAACUUACCCGGCCCGGACACAGGAAGGAUUGACAGAUUAAGAGCUCUUUCUUGAUUCUGUGGGUGGUGGUGCAUGGCCGUUCUUAGUUGGUGGGGCGACUUGUCUGGUUAAUUCCGAUAACGAACGAGACUCUAGCCUACUAAAUAGACGUUCCCAUCCUCUUUAGUGGGACGUUCUUCUUAGAGGGACAAGCGGCGUUUAGCCGCACGAGACAGAGCAAUAACAGGUCUGAGAUGCCCUUAGAUGUCCGGGGCCGCACGCGCGCUACAUUGAAGGAAUCAGCGUGUGCUCUCCCUGUCCGAAAGGACUGGGUAACCCGUUGAACCUCCUUCGUGCUGGGGAUUGGACUAUGUAAUUACGUCCAUGAACGAGGAAUUCCCAGUAAGCACGAGUCAUCAGCUCGUGUUGAUUACGUCCCUGCCCUUUGUACACACCGCCCGUCGCUACUACCGAUUGAAUGAUUUAGUGAGGUCUUCGGACUGGCGCUCGGAUUGGCCCUUCGUGGUCGAGCCGGUGUGCCGGAAAGAUGACCAAACUUGAUCAUUUAGAGGAAGUAAAAGUCGUAACAAGGUUUU